CAAUAGCGUAUAUUUAAGUUGUUGCAGUUAAAAAGCUCGUAGUUGGAUUUCGGAUGGGAUUUGCCGGUCCGUCGUUACGAUGUGCACUGGCCAGUCCUAUCUUGUUGUCGGGGACUAGCUCCUUGGAUUCACUUCCUGGGACUAGGAGCUGACGAGGUUACUUUGAGUAAAUUAGAGUGUUCAAAGCAAGCCUACGCUCUGAAUACAUUAGCAUGGAAUAACACGAUAGGACUCUGGCUUAUCUUGUUGGUCUGUGAGACCAGAGUAAUGAUUAAGAGGGACAGUCGGGGACAUUCGUAUUUCAUUGUCAGAGGUGAAAUUCUUGGAUUUAUGAAAGGCGAACUUCUGCGAAAGCAUUUGUCAAGGAUGUUUUCAUUAA
rnacentral:rRNA from 1 species